AGGACGAACGCUGGCGGCGUGCCUAACACAUGCAAGUCGAACGAGGUUGAUCCGGUGGCAACACUGGUGACUACCUAGUGGCGAACGGGUGAGUAACACGUGAGGAACCUGCCCCGAAGACCGGGAUAACUCUCCGAAAGGAGAGCUAAUACCGGAUACCCCCACCUGGUUGCAUGACCGGGUGAGGAAAUGGAUUCCGCUUCGGGAGGGCCUCGCGGCCUAUCAGCUAGUUGGUGGGGUAACGGCCCACCAAGGCAUCGACGGGUAGCUGGUCUGAGAGGACGAUCAGCCACACUGGGACUGAGACACGGCCCAGACUCCUACGGGAGGCAGCAGUGGGGAAUCUUGCGCAAUGGGCGAAAGCCUGACGCAGCAACGCCGCGUGGGGAUGAAGGCUUUCGGGUUGUAAACCCCUUUCAGCAGGGACGAAUCAAGACGGUACCUGCAGAAGAGCCCGGCUAACUACGCGCCAGCAGCCGCGGUAA
rnacentral:rRNA from 1 species